rnacentral:rRNA from 1 species
GAUGAACGCUGGCGGCGUGCCUAAUACAUGCAAGUCGAGCGGUAAGGCCCUUCGGGGUACACGAGCGGCGGACGGCUGAGUAACACGUAGGAACCUACCCCAAACUGAGGGAUAAGCACCAGAAAUGGUGUCUAAUACCGCAUGUGCUCUACGGAGUAAAGCUUCGGCGGUUUGGGAAGGGCCUGCGUCCGAUUAGCUAGUUGGUGGUAUAAAAGACUACCAAGGCGACGAUCGGUAGCCGGCCUGAGAGGGUGACCGGCCACACUGGGACUGAGAUACGGCCCAGACUCCUACGGGAGGCAGCAGUGGGGAAUAUUGCACAAUGGGCGCAAGCCUGAUGCAGCGACGCCGCGUGAGGGAUGACGGCCUUCGGGUUGUAAACCUCUUUCAGUAGGGACGAAGCGCAAGUGACGGUACCUACAGAAGAAGGACCGGCCAACUACGUGCCAGCCGCCGCCGUAA